CUUACCUCGUGGCAUCAGGAUACUCCCCCUUUCUGUGAUUGGCUGUGCUUCUUUUGGCCCAGUGCGCAUGACGACCUCCGGCGCACCAAAUAAGGGCAUGUGCCCUUCCGGGAUUAGCUUCUUUUGGCCCAGUGCGCAUGACGGCUUUGGCCUGCUUCUUCCGCUUCCGGUCCCCAGCUAUAAAGCCCCACCAAAACCGAAAGUAAACGAGACCUGCGAUAGCCGAAGGAAGAGUGCACGUGUCUCCCUCCGGUGUACCCCUGUUCUUCAGGUCGCUGCUCUCCCCUCGAGAACCUCGUUGGACAGUCCGCGGGCUCGGACAGGUGGCGCCCAACGUGGCGCUCGAGGUAUGAGAGAUUUACAGUAGACCCAGACGCAGCGCGCGGCGCGAGUUACUCAGGACCCGACCCAUUCGGCGGGACAGUCAUUAGGAUGCCUGUGGCCACCUGGAUUCUCCUGGUUUUUCAACAGUACCCUGUCGCCCGUGUCUUAGCCGGCCUCGGACCACCCGCCUCUCUCGCAUCCGCGUCUUCUUCCUUGGAUUCGCCCUGCAACUGCAAGGCAUUACCUCUGCCCUGGCCACGGGUGCCUCCGGUUUGGCCAUCUCCAUUUCCAGGAACUUGCAACCAACCCCUUAUGGACUUGCCUUAAUGGACUUUUACUGUAUUUGCUUCCCCUGUUGGGUCCCCCCUGUUAUCUCUUUUAUUGUUACUUGCUAUAGGUCCUUGUGUUUUAAACAAAAUUGUUGGGUUUGUAAGGCAACAAAUACAGUCCCUUCAGGCGAGACCUAUCCAGGUGCACUAUCACCGCCUGGAAAUGCUGGAAAGCGGGGGCGCAUAUACGGAUCUCCGGUCGCCGUCUGCGCCUGGCCAGUAGGUAGCACAGCCUACAUGCUAUGGGAGUCCCACCGUCCUGACCUUUGGCAGCCUUUUAACUUCAGUCAUUAUCCAGCUUCCUGGCUGGGCCCCCUUGAGGAUGCUGGAAUGGAUAGCCAAUGACGGGUAAGAUGGAAUGCGGGACAAGACCAACCUAAGACAGCCCCCGCUCCCUUUCCAUCUAGGACUGUCGGGUGAUGACGGGUAAGGCUCGUCCCUGCAAUUCACAACCUAAGACAGGCACAUUCCUCCUCACUAAUAAAGAGAAAAGGGGGAUCUGUUGGCGCCUUACCUCGUGGCAUCAGGAUACUCCCCCUUUCUGUGAUUGGCUGUGCUUCUUUUGGCCCAGUGCGCAUGACGACCUCCGGCGCACCAAAUAAGGGCAUGUGCCCUUCCGGGAUUAGCUUCUUUUGGCCCAGUGCGCAUGACGGCUUUGGCCUGCUUCUUCCGCUUCCGGUCCCCAGCUAUAAAGCCCCACCAAAACCGAAAGUAAACGAGACCUGCGGUAGUUGAACGAAGAGUGCACGUGUCUCCCUCCGGUGUACCCCUGUUCUUCAGGUCGCUGCUCUCCCCUCGAGAACCUCGUUGAACAGUCCGCGGGCUCGGACAGAAAUGUAGCUUUUAGUAAAUGGAGAGACACCAACAAGACAAGUCACAUUAUGACAAAGUAAGUCACUUUGUCAAAAUGACGUGGAGGACAAUGCUAUGGAGUUACCCAGAAUGGAGAGAUUCACCCAAUCCAGAGUCAGGGAAUGCUGCACUGAAAAAUUGACACUUAGAAGAGUAUUUUAUCAAAAAAAAGAAAAAGUCUGGAACUAAUAUCUUUUAGUUAAUUCUAAAAAGCAAAUACUACAGAAAUAAAAUUGAAAGUUUUCCUGAGGAACUGUGCACAGACUAUAUAAAAGAACUUCUGAACCAUGAGGUGAACUUCUGAGGCCUGAGGUUGUUCUCACAGCACACACCAUUUUGUUCUUUUUAGAACUAUCAUGUGUUUGUUCUGUUAGAGCCGUAGCUUCAGAUUGUGGUACAUGAGGUGAGAAUGGGGUUUCCUCAAGUGGACAAAUGCCCCCAGAAAGUCAUCUUGGGAAAUUAUCAGGCCUGGGAUUUUAAAAAAAAAAGGAUUUUGUAAACAGCUUAGAAAAACAUUCUUCUUUGGGGGCAAGAUCUCAGGUAAAGAGACUCCUAGAGCUUUUCUGAUGCUGGGGUGAGUGUAAGAGGCGCUGAGUGAAACAGGCACAGGCAUAGGGGUUUCCAUAUGGUCAGGAGAGGGGAGAACUUAGGAGACCCUAAAACAGAUUUGCUCAUGGUCAGAAGUGUAACUUCCUGUCUCUCAUUUCCCUUCUAUUUUCCUCAACUCUCACUGAAGUGUGAUUGGAAGGUACAGCUUUGUUCCUGUGCUGUGGGUGAUUGGGAGAGGACCAGCACAUGUGUGCAGCCCACCAACAAAGAAGAGAGUGGUGUCCCUUGCUAUCACUAGGAAGGGGCCAACAGGCCAGGCUAAGGAGCAGAGGACGUGGAGUGGGAAGAAGAGUUUCAGGCAGCACCGCAGUUGAUUUGCUGUCAUUCUUUCCUGUCUGAAGUGUUAGUGAAACUAAGAUAGUAAGCCCUGGUCACUGGCCUACCUUGCUGAUCUCAGUAAGUUGCAAGGCAAAAUUUUGUGGUGCAACUGGAAAUUUUCCAUGAGCGUUUCUUACCAGGAAACACAUCAUUGACUCUGUCUGUUAUGGUCAGCACCUGUGCUGUAACAUAAUGCUGUUACAUCAUGCUUCAGAAACAAACAAGCCAAGAAUCUCAGGAGCAGAAAUCAAGAUGUUUAUACUAAUAUUUAAUGCAAGUAGCCUCUGCUCAAAGUCAUCCUCUUUCCUGGACUUGGGCUGAAGGAGCAGCCACCAUGGGAAGUGUGGCCAGUCACUGUGGCAGAGGCAGAGUGUGGAAAUUCUACUGGGUCUUACAGCUUCCACACAGAAGUGACAAGGGUGAUGUCUGCUUACCUGAAGCAAAUUCACACACAGGGAAAGACAAGGCAGUUAAGAUGUGUGUGCUCCUCCUGAUGAUUCCCACACACCCUAUAUGUUCCCCAGAUGAUCCCUUGAAUCCCUUGCUGAAGAGUAAGUUGUUUUAGUCUAGUACACCAUGACCAAAUUUAAAAUGUACUGAACAGACCGCGUUUGCUUUCCAGACAAGAAUACUUCUGUCAGGAGGGCUUGGUUGGAGAUAGAGAAUAGAGGGACAAAAGAUUAAGUGGAGAGUAGAUGAUGAGUGAAACAGAAGAAAAUAGAGAAAUCGGAGAGAAGGAGAAUCACGACACGAAGAUCCGCCAUCUUGUCAAUGAAAUGGCUUUGGCGUAACUUGCAACUCCUUUGACUUUCCAUAGGACUUUCUCUAGGUCCUGACUACUUAAAUACAAGAAAGAUCCCCAGGGAAGAGGAAGCAACUACCUCUCAGGUGGAGUCCCCAGAGAAUUUCCUUCACCAAUGCACCCGUGCACCAUCACCACAGUCCUCUGUGCUCCGCCCACCCUCCCUCUGAUCCCUCUUCAUCCUCUUCAGGAUCUUUAGUUUAAAGUAUCGCCAUCCAUUCUGUCACACCCUGCUCUUCUCAAAAAUUUACAAAGAAGGAAUUGGACGGCACAGCAGACUGGCACGGUGUCCGGCGUAGACAUUUUCAAGCCUGGUGCAGACCUGCUCAGAGAAGCUCCUCGGUGAAUCCAAGGUUGGGGAACAGGUUUGUCUGUGGAAGAAAACAUAAGGCGCUAGAAACCUGAGACAAAGAGUUUACCCAUGGGAAGGAGAAAAUACAGAAAGUGUACUGAGGUGCCAUGAUCAGUGCCUUCUUCAGUUUUCCUAAGAAGAGAAGACAAUUGUAGUGCCAUUUCCUGAAAAUGCUGGGUUUUCCAAAAAUUUCAACUGUAUUACCUAUUAUAAUGAGGGACAGAAGAAAUGUAUGUUGCUCCAUUUUUAACAUGUGUGGUGGAAACAAGUCCAACUGUUUCACUUGCCUCCACAAACCUCUCUGCUAUAUAGGUCAGUCUUAGACAUUUAGUAGAGUUUUAUACUUCAACCAGAAUAAUUUCUAAGGCUGAUGUAACCAAAGUAAGUAAAUAAUAAAUGUUCUCCUUCAGUUGAUAUUACCUGGGGAUAAUGUGAGUCAUGGCAUAGUUUCUCUGGGCAUUUGAAGUAUGAUUUUAACCAAGCUUGUUUCAGGGGCUCUAGGAGCUGUGCAUGCAGCUCUGGGAGUAAAUGAGGAGUCUGUCAUUGAAACUCCCUGGAAAUGUCCUCAUUAGUAACAUAAAUUAGCAAACAUAAUACUGAUGCUUCUGUUUCAAUUCCAGGUGGGGCACACAUGUCAUUCCAGUAAAUCAUUUCAUGCAGACCCUCUGCUAAGGCUUCUAGCUGGGAUUUUCAUUCAGAAACACUAAGGAGAAAUAAUUUAGUUAAGAGUCUAGUUUUUAGGUUUCCUUGGGCAGACUGUAAUAAAAUUUUAUUACCACCAUCAACACGAGCCACAGAGGAUAUAACAGGACUUGAGUUCAAAUCACAGACUAUUUCUGAUUGUGGGUGCCCACAUUGUGCAUACUCAGGACUCCCCUCACUGUUGACAAAACUGACCUUGGGAAAUAAAGAGCUUGUCUUAAGUUCUGGCUUUCCCAUCUAGUGAUUCAUCCAACAAACACAUAUUAAGCACUCGUUUGAUGCUAAGCAUCAUUCUAGAUGUCAGGAACCCUGCAGACAACAAAACAGUUCCUACCUCAUGGGUCUUAGUUUAUUAGGCAGAUAUAAUGCACAAACACUAAGUAUAUAACAUGAUACUGGGUAACUGUAAGUGCUAUGAUGAAGGAUAAAAAAGGAUAAAGGGGUGACACUAAUAUUUUCAGUAGGGUUCUCAAGGGGAGAGGUGUCUUUGAGAAAGAGGGUGGAUGAAUUAAUGAGUCAGAUUUAAACCUUGGAACCCACUCCUGUAAAUAAAAGACAUCAAGAGGGGAAGUCCUGGUAAGAUUGUCUCAUAUGACUUCAUGAGCCUUCUGAUAAGGUCCUCAGAGACUUAGAGGUGGCUGCUACUAUCACAGGUUCAGAUGACUGUUAGUACUGUCAUCUCAUUGAGGUGCAAUGAGAUAGGAAGAGAAACCUGUGCUCUGUGUUCGGCAAUAGUAAAAUUCCCAGAAGGAGGAGAUUGUGGUGAAGAGAAACAGUGAUCUUUAGGCAUUCUAGCCACCCAAGAAAGUCAAGUCAAGACCAAGUAUACAGCUGGAGGACUGGAAAGGAAGACCAGCAUAGAGAGUACCACACAUUGGACCCCAUCUUAUUUCUCCUUAACUAAGUGUACCUUUCUCAGUCCACUAUUUAUAUCCUCUGCAGCCUCCGAAAGCACACCUGUGGUGAGAACGCGCACUUAGACAUUAUUCUGGUUUGUCAACACCAGAAUGUAGAGCAGAAGUGCCCCCCUAAAAGCAGGCCUUCAGGGAUCUGCUCAACUGAAACCAACAGCAGAUUAAGUUUCAUGGAAGCAAAGAAUUCUCAAAUCGAAGAUGAGAAGUGUAUGCAUCUGAAUAAGGGGAAGACGGGCUGCUUAUGUGGCGAGCAAAGAAGCCACUGUACAAACUGAGCCCCAAAGAAGCCACUGUACAAACUGAGCAAAUUAGGUGUUUGUCUGCAGCUAUGACAAUGGAAUAAAUGGCCACAGUCAAAGUCAUAAUGAAGGAAAGAAAGGACCUAUGAUCAAAGUUGAUCUAGAUGAUGACAUAACUGCCCUAACCAGGACAUUGGCAUAUGCUGAGGUAACUAUAACCCAGAAUACUAUCAGUCAAGAGAGAGUCAGGGAGGGGCAGAUUAGAAGCACCGUAGAUUGUUGCCAAGGAUAUUUUUUCAAUUCUUAGUCUCUAAAAGCCAGAGAUGAAAAAUAUGUAGCCAAACAGUAGCUGGUCCCAAACACAGAAGCCAUAGAUCUCCUGAUAUGUACUAAAUGACCUGCCCUUGCUGCCCUCAGCAGAGACAGUAAGGAGAGCAUCAAAAGAACACAAGAAACAGAGACUUCAAAACCAACACCAAGGUACUCAUGGUGGAAAGCAGACCACAUCUGUCUGUAAAAUUCUAUCACCUGAACAGAGCCAGUUCUGAGAUCAGUUUCUGAAGCACAACUUCCCUUAAACCAGGAAAAAAGAUCAGAGUGCUCAGUAUCCCAAGUCAAGCAGCUAUCCCCUCCUUAAUAAGCAGGCUUAAUGGAAAAGACAGGGCCUGAAACUUUUCCAUUUGGGUGAAAAGCAAAACAAGUCUGCAAAGGAGAAAAUGAAGCUGUAAGUCAAAGGAAAGCAGGGCAGAUGCAGUCAGAGGGCACCACAAUCAGGGACCAUAUUCCCCUAGAAUAGAACACCCUAAAGUAGAACACCCUGAGAACACGUCUGAAGACCAGGGAACAGGGUGGCAGUUUUCCUAGAGGGUCCUUUCUGGCAGUUCAAAGAUUAGUCAUAGCUUUUGCUAUUGGAUCACCAGUUGGUAUAGUUGCUAAAUUUAAAGACUGUCUCACAUAUAAUCAUGCUUGUCUGGAUCCAAAGUUGAGAAAUGGCAUGGCAUCAGAACUCAGCUAUCACAAACAUCCCUUGGAUAAAUCAGUCUGGGAACACUCAAAAAUACAUGGCUAAGUGUACAUCCCACCUGAGAGUCUGAAUUAGUUGGUUUAUCCUUUUCCAGAAAUUUGGAUAAAGAAACAUGGUUAUACCUUGCUUUAAAGGCUGAGUCUCAGUUUUAUGAAUUUACCAAAACAAAGAUUUACAAAGGAAGGUGACAGAUUGAUCUUUUUUAGUCCCUUAUUUAAGACUUUGUGGGAGAACCCUGACUAAUAUACUUAGGUCCUGUCACUUUUACUUUUUCCAGUUGCUUCUCCCCUACUCCUGACCUUUUUAUUUCCUCACCUGCCCAGAAGCCCUAUUCUUCCCUUUUGUGUUCAGGGCCUGGCAUGUAAUAGAAGUUCCUCCCACGCCACCAAAUAUGUAAUGCUACUGCUAAUUGAGGUGCAGUUUGGAAAACAGGGUAUUAUUUGUUAUUCUUAAUCCAAGUUUUGUAAUUAUCACAGUUGCUAUUUAGAACAUGGUGGACUCACCAGUCGCCUUAAGCCUCACCUCUGAGUGAUCUGUGUCUAAUCACCGAAUGGAGUGUCCACGUUGUAAAUGUCACCCCGCUCCACUGCUCAGAUAUAUGCCCUCAUUAAGGUCAAGGAGAAGAUAUUUAAAUAUCAGGGUUGAGCUCCUGAGCAAUCAUGUCAUUUCUAUUGAUCACCUAAUGAAAAUUUAUGGCAUUUAACAGUGAAGAGAUAUGUUUACAUGGGAUGCCGGUUUCCACCACUGUGCUCACACCACUUCGGGGAAGCCUUUUACCAGACUUGUUCUAAGAAUGCAUUUACCUUUCUCCUAAUCACAGAAAGCACGCUAGGACUGAGGAGAGCUGGGGCACUUUAGAAUUGCAAUUGCAUUUCCAAGUGAUAAAAAUGAAAUGAGACUGCUAAGCAUCAUGAAAAGCUAGAAAGUUGAAAUGCAGAAGUCAAAGCAAAAGGAAGAAGAAAUCUUUGUUUAAUCCAUUUGGGUAGAUCGUGCCUCUGAUAAUUGACCGGUGUCAUACUGAUGUGAUAUUUAACAGCAACUACAAAGCCCAAAUAGAGAGGAUAAAUAUGAGCAUAGAAAUAGUCACACAGUGAUAAACUAUUAACACCUUAACAAGAAGCAGGAAAGCAUAGCACAUAUUUGAAAUGAGUGAGAAGGAUGUCACCUGCAGAAUCUAAUUUAUAGUCACAAGAGGAAAUAAAAAUUCCUAAGAAGCCACAGCAACUGUUCCAGGCACAGUGAUCAUGGACACUGCUUCUGGCAACUGCAACCUUACAUUAAUUUGUUUUCCUAUUCAUUUUAAAAUAAUUGUGAGGAGGCACAGGGAAAUGGUAUUACAUACACACACACACACACACACACCCCACUCCCCCAGAGACCUGAGAGCCCUAAAGUCCACAGAGAGCCAUGCAGGCAGGUCACCUUCUCCAAAGUCUUCCCUGAACUUUCUUAUCUAAAUGGACAGUGCACCCCAAAGUGACUCUCCAGCCCCUUCUUCUACUUGGUUGUCCCCACAGAGUGCUGCCUCUGUCAUUGACCUGUCUGCCAUGACACCUGGAGCAGAACUUAUUUUGUCUGCCCCAGCUUCCUCUUUUGACAAAUGGAUAUGUUAAUAGUGCUGACUUCAUAGGAUUGUUGGGAGGAUUAAAUAAGUUACUAUUUGUCAAAUUGCAUUUUUGUGAAAUAA